CCUCUCGUCCUCACUCCUCGGUGUUUCAUUUUGUCUCCCCUCUCUCUCUAGGGUUCUUCUCUCUCUACCCUCUCCCUCUCGCAUUUCACCCGGGGAUCCAGCGGCGGCGCGCAGGAGGACCAGGCGGCGGGGCGCGGGCGCUUCCAGAGAAGGAAGGAGCUGCUCGGGCGCCUGCCCUGCUCGCGGGAGGAGCUCACCGCCGCCUUCCCUGGAUCCGCGAGCAGGAGGGGGUCGCCACCCUCCCUCGGUACGCACGCCGCAGGAGGAGAAGGGGCCCGCGCCGGAGCUGCGUCGAGCCGCGCCGGCCUACUUGAUCCACCGUUGAUCGGCCAGCAGGCAGAUCGAAGUUGGAGAGGCGAGGAGCACGCACAGAGGUGAAUCAGUGCCCAUUAGUUCCAUGGAUUUGUUGAUGUUCUUCCGUUGUUCUCAUGUGAAACGAACAGAUUUUUUUAGGUAUUUUUUCCCCAUGGUGAUCUAGUUUUUGCGCUGGGGAAUCGAUUUGAUUUGGUGCUAUUCUCUUGAUUUUUAGUAGAGGGCAAAGCCUAAUCGAGGAAGGAGGAGGAAGAGGCCCGCGAUUGUAGGCGAGUCUCGAUUCCAGCAUAAUUUUUGUAAGGCUCGCAUAGAGAUUCUAUGGGUGCCCAGCUGCUUUCAUGUGACAGUCGCAUGGAAAUUCUACCCCCCCCUCUCUCUCACGCAUGAUUUUUGUUGGCAGCUUUUUCAUUCCGUGGUCAUUGCAGCCUAUCCCCUGGUCAAGCCUGUUGCCUCGUUCCCAUCAUCCACUGCGGUAGCACUCUUAGCAGAUACUAUAAGAUGAACAACAGAGGAUACUGAAAAUGUAGAGACAAUAUCGUCAUCGAAGAACAACGGCUACACGAAGAAGAGGAUGUGACGGAACAACGUGCAGCUUCUGUGUGUUAUUCCCCAAACCAAUAUUGAUCAUAAUGACAAGAGGAUGGAACUAAUAGCAUGUUCUCGUGACUUCGUCUAAUGCGGUUCGAAGAAAUAGGGCUUCCCCUGCUAGGCUUAUGAAGUUAUAUGGAGGCAUGUCGGAAGCCUAGUGAAAGAUGGUAUGAGAGGUACAUUUUGAAGGGCUGCUCAAGAUUGCGUGCACCAUAAUCCCAGCGGAGCUUACAAAUUGGCUCAUGGUUGAGUGUUUCCACGCUGAGUCGUUGAUACAUAAGAGCUUGUUAUCCCUAGGAGGGGUAGGAUCUUAGGUUAUGUGCAACGAAGCAAAAGUCAAGUAUAAGCAGGGUGUAUCUAGUGGUUACGUGAUGAAAUAAUAUUAUUUGUGAAUUUGUUUAUUGCCUGAAUAUUUACUCUAAUUUGCUUUCGGGUUUCAUCUCGCCUACCCCAACUUGUUUGGGAAAAGGGCUAUGUUGUUGUUGUUGCUGCUUUGGAGUUUAUUGUAAUAUGCUUUCAACGUGCUUUUUGGAACUGUGUGAGAAAAAAUAUCAUCAAAACAUAUUGAAAUGAGAUCUUGUUUUGAAGUUUUUGUUGGAGGCAA